GACGAACGCUGGCGGCGUGCUUAACACAUGCAAGUCGAACGGAAAGGCGCUGCUUUUGUGGGGUGCUCGAGUGGCGAACGGGUGAGUAACACGUGAGUAACAUGCCCUUGACUGAGGGAUAACUUCAGGAAAAUGGGGCGAAUACCGGGGAGGAGCUCCUGCAGCAUGGGGGGGGUUGGAAAGAUUCGGCGGUGGGGGAUGGACUCGCGGCUUAUCAGCUAGAUGGUGGGGUAGGGGAGUACCAAGGCUAUGAAGGGUAGCCCGCCUUGGAGCGUGACCAGCCACCAUGCUCCUGCGAGACGCCGCAGACUGCAACGGUAGGCAGCAGUCGAGAGCAUUGCGCAGUGGGCGGGCGCGUGAUGUAGAAAUGCCGCGUUCGUGAUGACGUGUUUCGAGUUGUAAACCUCUUUCUACUGAGCCGUGGCGUUAGUGACGGUAAUGGGUAAGAAAGCCCCGGCUAACUACGUG
rnacentral:rRNA from 1 species